rnacentral:rRNA from 1 species
AUGGCUACCGCCGCCGCCACGGCCGCGGCUCCGCCCGCACCGACCAUGAAGCUGCUCAUCGACGCGAAGGCCAAGCGCGUGCUGUACGCGGAGGCCGGCAAGGACGCCGUCGACUUCCUCUUCGGCAUCCUCGCGACGCCCGUCGGCACCGUCGCCAAGCUGCUUAGGGCCGGCGGCGACGGGGCCGGCGCGGCCAACAUCUACGCCAGCGCCGAAGGGAUGAAUCCCGCGUACAUGCAGAGCAACGCCGUGCAGGACGCGCUCCUCAACUCGCACCGCUAUACUCUCCUGCAAAACCCUGCCAUCCGAGGCCCCCUUUCGUCCGCCACCACGGCCACGGCGGCGCCCUCGACGCCCGUGCCACAGACCAUGCCGCUGUCAUCGGGGUCAUUCCGACCCCAAUACCCGGCUGUCGCUGCGCCUACGUUGGCGACGACAGUUCCACGCGGCUGCCUUAGCUGCGGCUCCAUCGUGGCCGGUGGUGGGUUCGUGCAGGGCUUGGUGACGUACACCGUCAUGGACGACCUCACCAUCACACCCAUGUCAAACGUCUCUGUCAUGGUGCUGCUCAGCAAACUCAACGGAGAAGAGAAGGGCCUCGUACUCGAGGAGAAGUCUGUCAAGAUCGGUCCACAAGAGGGAUUGGAUAUUCUCAUGGCUUCCCUACAGUCCAGCACCGUCCUCACCGAUGUAUUCAUGUCCAACAAUAGUGGCGUUGCCUCCCUGUCCAAGAAUAAAAGGGCUCGUACAUCCGGUGGCGAAAUCAGUGUUGUUCAGGAGAAAAAUGAUAAAACCCUGGACUAUUUUUUAUGA